UUGGCCAUUGUCUCCAACCUGCCGGCGUGACUGAGCUUUUCCCCGGCAGGAGAACGACAGCCUGAGGCCCUACCUGGCGGAGGCGAUAGCGGCGUGCUGCGUGUCAAGGGAAACCGGGCUCCUUUUCGGCCAGGCGGGCGCCGUGGCUCCGCUCGUACAGUAUCUUGAGACGAACGACAGCACCAUCAGGAGGCCCACCUGCAGGGCGCUGCACCGGCUGUCGCUCGAGCCGGAAAAUUGCGUCACUCUGCACCAAAGCGGCGCCGUCCCCCUCCUCCUCGAGAUGCUGGGCUCCGAGGACGAGGUGGUGCAAGAAGCGGCUGCCGACUGCCUGAGGAACAUCCGGCUGCUGGCCCUGCAACGUUGCAAAGCCCAGGGCCGCACCAACAGGUCCACGCCGAGAGGCAAUCACAGCUCGAGGCGAUAGCUGGGGAGAAUUAGAAGAAAAAAUAGAUAAAUAGAAA